rnacentral:rRNA from 1 species
AGACGAGGAGCUUGCUCCUUUGACGUUAGCGGCGGACGGGUGAGUAACACGUGGGUAACCUACCUAUAAGACUGGGAUAACUUCGGGAAACCGGAGCUAAUACCGGAUAAUAUUUCGAACCGCAUGGUUCGAUAGUGAAAGAUGGCUUUGCUAUCACUUAUAGAUGGACCUGCGCCGUAUUAGCUAGUUGGUAAGGUAACGGCUUACCAAGGCAACGAUACGUAGCCGACCUGAGAGGGUGAUCGGCCACACUGGAACUGAGACACGGUCCAGACUCCUACGGGAGGCAGCAGUAGGGAAUCUUCCGCAAUGGGCGAAAGCCUGACGGAGCAACGCCGCGUGAGUGAUGAAGGUCUUCGGAUCGUAAAACUCUGUUAUUAGGGAAGAACAAACGUGUAAGUAACUGUGCACGUCUUGACGGUACCUAAUCAGAAAGCCACGGCUAACUACGUGCCAGCAGCCGCGGUAAUACGUAGGUGGCAAGCGUUAUCCGGAAUUAUUGGGCGUAAAGCGCGCGUAGGCGGUUUUUUAAGUCUGAUGUGAAAGCCCACGGCUCAACCGUGGAGGGUCAUUGGAAACUGGAAAACUUGAGUGCAGAAGAGGAAAGUGGAAUUCCAUGUGUAGCGGUGAAAUGCGCAGAGAUAUGGAGGAACACCAGUGGCGAAGGCGACUUUCUGGUCUGUAACUGACGCUGAUGUGCGAAAGCGUGGGGAUCAAACAGGAUUAGAUACCCUGGUAGUCCACGCCGUAAACGAUGAGUGCUAAGUGUUAGGGGGGUUUCCGCCCCCUUAGUGCUGCAGCUUAACGCAUUUAAGCACUCCCGCCUGGGGGAGUACGAACCGCCAAGGUUGAAAACUCAAAAGGAAUUUGACGGGGGAACCCGGCACAAAGCGGGGGGAACCAUGUGGGUUUAAUUUCGAAAGCAACCCCGAAAAAACCUUUACCAAAAUCCUUGGACAUCCCUUUUGAACCCUUUCUAGAAGAUAGAAAGUUUUCCCCCUUUCGGGGGGGACCAAAG